GAUGAUCAGCCACACUGGAACUGAGAACACGUCAGACUCUACGGGAGGCAGCAGUGGGAUAUGCACAAUGGGCGCAAGCUGAUGCAGCAUGCCGCGUGUGUGAAGAAGCUCGGGUGUAAAGCACUUUCAGUCGUGAGGAAGGUAGUGUAGUUAAUAGCUGCAUUAUUUGACGUUAGCGACAGAAGAAGCACCGGCUAACUCCGUGCCAGCAGCCGCGGUAAUACGGAGGGUGCGAGCGUUAAUCGGAAUUACUGGGCGUAAAGCGCAUGCAGGUGGUUUGUUAAGUCAGAUGUGAAAGCCCGGGGCUCAACCUCGGAAUUGCAUUUGAAACUGGCAGACUAGAGUACUGUAGAGGGGGGUAGAAUUUCAGGUGUAGCGGUGAAAUGCGUAGAGAUCUGAAGGAAUACCGGUGGCGAAGGCGGCCCCCUGGACAGAUACUGACACUCAGAUGCGAAAGCGUGGGGAGCAAACAGGAUUAGAUACCCUGGUAGUCCACGCCGUAAACGAUGUCUACUUGGAGGUUGUGGCCUUGAGCCGUGGCUUUCGGAGCUAACGCGUUAAGUAGACCGCCUGGGGAGUACGGUCGCAAGAUUAAAACUCAAAUGAAUUGACGGGGGCCCGCACAAGCGGUGGAGCAUGUGGUUUAAUUCGAUGCAACGCGAAGAACCUUACCUACUCUUGACAUCCAGAGAACUUUCCAGAGAUGGAUUGGUGCCUUCGGGAACUCUGAGACAGGUGCUGCAUGGCUGUCGUCAGCUCGUGUUGUGAAAUGUUGGGUUAAGUCCCGCAACGAGCGCAACCCUUAUCCUUGUUUGCCAGCGAGUAAUGUCGGGAACUCCAGGGAGACUGCCGGUGAUAAACCGGAGGAAGGUGGGGACGACGUCAAGUCAUCAUGGCCCUUACGAGUAGGGCUACACACGUGCUACAAUGGCGCAUACAGAGGGCGGCCAACUUGCGAAAGUGAGCGAAUCCCAAAAAGUGCGUCGUAGUCCGGAUUGGAGUCUGCAACUCGACUCCAUGAAGUCGGAAUCGCUAGUAAUCGUGGAUCAGAAUGCCACGGUGAAUACGUUCCCGGGCCUUGUACACACCGCCCGUCACACCAUGGGAGUGGGCUGCAAAAGAAGUAGGUAGUUUAACCUUCGGGGGGACGCUUACCACUUGGUUCGUGC
rnacentral:rRNA from 1 species